rfam:Aedes aegypti strain Liverpool supercont1.1096 genomic scaffold, whole genome shotgun sequence.
UGCUCAGUAACUCCUAUCCCUGACCUCCCCGAGGUGCCGGCUGGGGUGCGAACAACCCAAAGGUUGAAAGGCGAAUUCACGUAGCCUAAUGAGCUCAAAGCGAACUCAGGUCGCAUGCUGACAGGGAAGG